GAGCGUGAUGAUAUGAUAUUUGUCGCCCCAGUCUUAGGAUCCGGAUUCCGGGCCAGUGCUGAUUGACAUGUUAUCAGAUCUGACUC
rnacentral:snoRNA from 18 species